rnacentral:tRNA from 1 species
GAGGGUAUAGCUCAGUGGUAAAGUGCAUGCUUAGCAUGCAUGAGGUUCUGGGUUCAAUCCCCAGUACCUCCA